rnacentral:rRNA from 1 species
UGCGAAAAGUCCCGACUUCUGGAAGGGAUGUAUUUAUUAGAUUCAAAACCAAUGCGGGUUCUGCCCGGUUGUUUGGUGAUUCAUAAUAACUGUUCGAAUCGCACGGCCUUGCGCUGGCGAUGUUUCAUUCAAAUUUCUGCCCUAUCAACUGUCGAUGGUAAGGUAUUGGCUUACCAUGGUUACAACGGGUGACGGAGAAUUAGGGUUCGAUUCCGGAGAGGGAGCCUGAGAAACGGCUACCACAUCCAAGGAAGGCAGCAGGCGCGCAAAUUACCCAAUCCUGACUCAGGGAGGUAGUGACAAGAAAUAACAAUACAGGGCUUUUCUAAGUCUUGUAACUGGAAUGAG